ensembl:snRNA U6 U6 spliceosomal RNA
GUGCUCGCUUUGGCAGCACAUAUACUAAAACUGGAAUGACACAGAGAAGGUUAGCGUGGCCCCUGCGCCAGGAUGACAUGCAAAUUCGUGAAGAGUUUCACAUUGUU